rnacentral:rRNA from 1 species
UGAUGAAGAACACAGUGAAAUGUGAUAAGUAAUGUGAAUUGCAGAAUUCAGUGAAUCAUCAAAUCUUUGAACGCACCUUGCGCCUUUUGGUAUUCCAAAAGGCACACCUGUUUGAGUGUCAUGAAACCCUCUCAUCAAUUAACUUUUUCAUUAAGGUUUUUAGAUGGAUGUUGAGUGUUGCUGUUUUAUACAGCUCGCUUUAAAUGAAUAAGUUCUAAUCAUUUGAUUUGGAUUGACUUGAUGUGAUAUAUAUCAUCUUCAUCAAGGAAGUGUAUCUUGUGUACAGCCAAUCAUUUUCUGAUCAAGAGGCUACCAAAUUUUCCAUCUUUAAAGUGGGAAAUGUGCUACUUUAAUUUAUUUUUAAGACCUCAAAUCAGGUGGAAUUACCCACUGAACUUAAGCAUAUCAAUAAGUGGAGGAAAAGAAACUAACAAGGAUUCCCC